AAAUAUAGCUUUAGAACUAGACAAGACACAACAUGCCCAGUAAAGAUCAGAGUAAUUGAGCCUGGCAGGCUCCUUCAGAUGAACAACCCAAGGACUUAGGAAGGAUGCACAGCUCACCUAGGACAGCUGAUGAUUUCAAGCCAGAUAUCCAUUCAUCUCUCCACCACCAACCCCCAGAAUCAGCCAACUCGAGUGAGUGAACUUUGGCUGCAAUGGAGGUGCCCAAAUCCCAAAGGUGCCAAGUGUGGCCCCAGUGCUACACAAGCCAUGUGGAAGCAAAAUGGCAACUGACCACAUCCAAGUGGCUGCUAUGGACCUGGACCAGGAAAAGGCUUUAAUUCUUUUGAUGGACUUCUAUCUCUCUGCCUAACACUGACCUGUCUUCCCACCUUGGAGAAAAACAUCCCAUGGAGGUAAAACACAAAGAAGGAAGGAUAGUAAUGAGCUGUCACUCUAAAACGUAUUUACCCCAUUCUCCAUGCUUUACAUCAAAAAGCCACUCAAAGCC
rnacentral:lncRNA from 1 species